rnacentral:rRNA from 1 species
AGCAGCCGCGGUAAUUCCAGCUCCAAUAGCGUAUAUUAAAGUUGUUGCAGUUAAAAAGCUCGUAGUUGAAUUUCGGGAUCAAUAUAUCGGUCGUGCCUUGGUACGUACUGGUAUCAUUGGUUUCUCCUUUCUGACGAACCAUGAUGUCAUUAAUUUGGUGUUAUGGGAAGUUAGGACUGUUACUUUGAAAAAAUUAGAGUGUUUAAAGCAGGCUUUAGCUUGAAUACAUUAGCAUGGAAUAAUGAAAUAGGACGUUCGAACCUAUUUUGUUGGUUUCUAGGAUCAACGUAAUGAUUAAUAGGGAUAGUUGGGGGCAUUAGUAUUCAAUUGUCAGAGGUGAAAUUCUUGGAUUUAUUGAAGACUAACUACUGCGAAAGCAUUUGCCAAGGAUGUUUUCAUUAAUCAAGAACGAAAGUUAGGGGAUCGAAGACGAUCAGAUACCGUCGUAGUCUUAACCAUAAACUAUGCCGACUAGGGAUCGGAUGAUGUUAAUUUUUAAUGACUCAUUCGGCGCCUUACG